GAUGAACGCUGGCGGCGUGCCUAACACAUGCAAGUCGAGCGAGAAGGUUAUGACGGAUUCUUCGGAUGACGGAUUAACUGGAAAGCGGCGGACGGGUGAGUAACGCGUGGGUAACCUGCCCCAUACACAGGGAUAGCCAUUGGAAACGAUGAUUAAUACCUGAUAACACAUAUUGAUCGCAUGGUUGAAAUGUCAAAGAUUUAUCGGUAUGGGAUGGACCCGCGUCUGAUUAGCUAGUUGGUGGGGUAACGGCCUACCAAGGCGACGAUCAGUAGCCGGCCUGAGAGGGUGACCGGCCACACUGGAACUGAGACACGGUCCAGACUCCUACGGGAGGCAGCAGUGGGGAAUAUUGCACAAUGGGCGAAAGCCUGAUGCAGCGACGCCGCGUGAACGAUGAAGGCUUUCGAGUCGUAAAAGUUCUGUUCUUGGGGAAGAUAACGACGGUACCCAAGGAGAAAGCACCGGCUAAAUACGUG
rnacentral:rRNA from 1 species